rnacentral:rRNA from 1 species
UACAGAGGGUGCGAGCGUUAAUCGGAAUUACUGGGCGUAAAGCGCGCGUAGGCGGCUUUGCAAGUCGGGUGUGAAAUCCCCAGGCUCAACCUGGGAACUGCAUUCGAGACUGCAUUGCUAGAGUAUGGUAGGGGCAGAGGGAAUUCCUGGUGUAGCGGUGAAAUGCGUAGAGAUCAGGAAGAACAUCGGUGGCGAAGGCGCUCUGCUGGACCAUAACUGACACUCAGGGACGAAAGCUAGGGGAGCGAAUGGG